rnacentral:rRNA from 1 species
UACGUAGGGUGCGAGCGUUAAUCGGAAUUACUGGGCGUAAAGCGUGCGCAGGCGGUUCGCCAAGUCAGAUGUGAAAUCCCCGGGCUUAACCUGGGAACUGCGUUUGAAACUACAAGGCUAGAGUGUGGCAGAGGGGGGUGGAAUUCCACGUGUAGCAGUGAAAUGCGUAGAGAUGUGGAGGAACACCGAUGGCGAAGGCAGCCCCCUGGGUUAACACUGACGCUCAGGCACGAAAGCGUGGGGAGCAAACAGG